rnacentral:misc_RNA from 1 species
UUGUUGGUGGGUUCUUCUGCAGGUAUGUGAUUUCGUGAUUUUUGCUAUUAUUUUCAUUUGAUUAAUGGAUGACGUGCUAGUGGAUAAUGAUUAGAAAUGCUCGUUUGAUUGGUAUUAAUGGGUGACUAUUUAGAUCUAUGAAGGUUAUUCGUUUGUGAAUCCGUUACAGCUAUUAGGUUCUUCUUAUGUUGCUGAUUUUGUUUACGUCCAAAAAGGGAAAACAUUUAACUGCUUCUCAACACGUCUGGGCAAAAAUUAUAUCAUACUUUUGAUGUCAAGGGCUGAUUAGAUAGGAUUUGAUGUUUCAAAUCAAUUUGCAUAGAUGGGAAUUUAUGAUUUGAGAUGCUUGGACUGUUGUGUUGUUUGGGGAUUUUUUGUAGCUCUGUUGAUAAUUUCCCUGUUUUUCAUGGAUUUUGUCUGUUUUGAUAUGGAUAUUCUUGAGUGGAUUGUCGUUGAAAGGUUCAGUUAGUUAUGAUGGUGGGCAGUUUUAGUGAUGAAAACUGUUUUAACACUUGGGUAUGGAAUUCUUGAAUAUCAUAUUGUUGUUCUGGCAAAGUUGCUCCUUCAAAUAUCAUUUACAUAUUCAGGUGAACUUCUUCUUCCAGAAAAUUGGCUGUACCCUAUUCCUAUCCCAUUUUGCUUUUUAUUGAAAAUCCAUCGAACUUUGAAAAAAAAUUCUUCUUUCUUUUCCCCUUAGAAAGGGGAAAAGUGAAUAGUGGAGCAAAAUGUGUUUGGCAGUAUACACAUCUGACCAAAUUUCAGUUUGAUGGAAAGAAGGUAUAAAAUGUUCGAUGGCCAUUUCAUGGAAAGAAAGAAAGCUAUGUUGUUUGCAGUGUUUGUUCCAAUCUAUCUGUACAACCAUGUCAGUCAGUGUCAAUUUUUUCUCCAGUUCCCCAUUUUGUCAAUUGUGGGAAUUUUCCUCUUAGCAAAAGGGGCUUCUCUCAUAUGCUGCUGGUCACUAAUUUUGGAUAUCUUAGCAAAAGGGGCUUCUCUCAUAUGCUGCUGGUCACUAAUUUUGGAUAUCUUAGCAAAAGGGGCUUCUCUCAUAUGCUGCUGGUCACUAAUUUUGGAUA